rnacentral:rRNA from 1 species
GAUGAACGCUGGCGGCGUGCUUAACACAUGCAAGUCGAACGAAGCACUUUAUUUGAUUUCCUUCGGGACUGAUUAUUUUGUGACUGAGUGGCGGACGGGUGAGUAACGCGUGGGUAACCUGCCUUGUACAGGGGGAUAACAGUUGGAAACGGCUGCUAAUACCGCAUAAGCGCACAGCAUCGCAUGAUGCAGUGUGAAAAACUCCGGUGGUAUAAGAUGGACCCGCGUUGGAUUAGCUAGUUGGUGAGGUAACGGCCCACCAAGGCGACGAUCCAUAGCCGACCUGAGAGGGUGACCGGCCACAUUGGGACUGAGACACGGCCCAAACUCCUACGGGAGGCAGCAGUGGGGAAUAUUGCACAAUGGGCGAAAGCCUGAUGCAGCGACGCCGCGUGAGCGAAGAAGUAUUUCGGUAUGUAAAGGUCUAUCAGCAGGGAAGAUAAUGACGGUACCUGACUAAGAAGCACCGGCUAAAUACGUG